rnacentral:rRNA from 1 species
GUGGUUUAAUUCGAUGCAACGCGAAGAACCUUACCUGUCUUGACAUCCCGGAGACCCUUAGGAACUAGGGGUGCUUCCAUCUGGAAGAAUCUGGAGACAGGUGCUGCAUGGCUGUCGUCAGCUCGUGUCGUGAGAUGUUGGGUUAAGUCCCGCAACGAGCGCAACCCUUGCCUUUAGUUGUCAGCAGUUCGGCUGGGCACUCUAAAGGGACUGCCGGUGUUAAACCGGAGGAAGGUGGGGAUGACGUCAAGUCCUCAUGGCCUUUAUGACCAGGGCUACACACGUACUACAAUGGCCGAUACAAAGGGCAGCGACACUGCGAGGUGAAGCCAAUCCCGUAAAAUCGGUCUCAGUCCGGAUUGGAGUCUGCAACUCGACUCCAUGAAGUUGGAAUCGCUAGUAAUCGUGGAUCAGCAUGCCACGGUGAAUACGUUCCCGGGCCUU